rnacentral:rRNA from 1 species
CUACGGGUUGCUGCAGUGGGGAAUAUUGCACAAUGGGCGCAAGCCUGAUGCAGCCAUGCCGCGUGUAUGAAGAAGGCCUUCGGGUUGUAAAGUACUUUCAGCGGGGAGGAAGGGAGUAAAGUUAAUACCUUUGCUCAUUGACGUUACCCGCAGAAGGAGCACCGGCUAACUCCGUGCCAGCAGCCGCGGUAAUACGGAGGGUGCAAGCGUUAAUCGGAAUUACUGGGCGUAAAGCGCACGCAGGCGGUUUGUUAAGUCAGAUGGGAAAUCCCCGGGCUCAACCUGGGAACUGCAUCUGAUACUGGCAAGCUUGAGUCUCGUAGAGGGGGGUAGAAUUCCAGGUGUAGCGGUGAAAUGCGUAGAGAUCUGGAGGAAUACCGGUGGCGAAGGCGGCCCCCUGGACGAAGACUGACGCUCAGGUGCGAAAGCGUGGGGAGCAAACAGGAUUAGUACCCGUGUAGUC